AAGGCACGAACUUGUGUUGGAAAAUAAGAUCUAGGCCAUCCACAUAACUUGAUCUAAGGGACAUGGACGCUUCAUUCUCCCCACCCUUUCUUUCCUCAACGCAGUCCGUUUACAACGCCGUAAUCCCAAAAUCACGGCAAUGACUGCACGCAUACCCUCCUUGCUUCCUCCGGCACCCAGCACGAACUCCCUCCGUGCCGCCUGGUGCACUGCUUCCCGCGCAUCGAAGCGCUCCUCCCUGUACCGGCGCCUCCCUGCCCGCCGUACUCCCUGCACAAACCAGAAGUGGAGGCAAUCGCCCGCCGUCCUCGCUCGCCCCCGCUAUCGGAGAUGAAGGCGCCACUCCCCCCACGCGAUCUAGGCUGAGUCCGCCGCCACUCCUCGCGCUUGCCCCUCCCGUCAUAGGGUUGCUGGUGGUCAACCGCCCAACCUGCUCGCGUGCAGCCGCUGCCGGCACUGCUGCCUUCCUCCCGAUCUGGCGUUGACAAAGACCCUUACUGCUGCUAAUGGGGCACGCCCAGAUUCAGCGUUGCCAAGCAUUUCGAUUUUUUGCACGAUCACUUCCUUGAAGGUACUCGAUGACUGACGAUGAAGAGACUCUACAGGUAAUCGCGUUUUAGGUCUAGAUGAUGAAGUACUUUAAUUGCUAAUUCACCGCGGUAAUCACUUUUCAGGAUAUUGAUUUGAAGUAAGCACGCAUACAUGUCUUUAUCAUCUCUAAUCUGAAUAUUUCGAGUUUUCGCUUUCAGAGCCAUUGGAUAUUCAUUAAUCGUCAAAUAUGUCAUAUGGAUAGGUAUAGAGUGUGCAACUUCACCAGCACUUGACUAUUGGCUGACUUCUUAUUUUCAUUACUUUGUGAGUCCAUUGGCUGAUGUGGAUAGGAGUUCAUUGUUACGGCAGCUGCAUCCGUUCUGCUUUUCAUCACGGCUUCAUAUUGCCUGUAAACAAACUUGGACGGUUUUUCUACUGGCUUAGAGUACUUCUGAUUUUUACAAUGUAGAAUGCUAAAAAUGCUUCAUACUACUGGUAAAAAGGACUGCUUCAGUAGGAUAGAAACCUAUGGACUGCCGGCCAAAAGGAAGACACAAAUUUUUGAAGUAUACUAUUUUGUCACAGUUUUUGAGGUAUAGAAUUUUGGGUGCUUCUUUGUGUCUGAACAAUUGUGGAACUCACUGCACAAUGACUGGUGUAAAUAUUGUGUGCCUAUUUAUAAUAGUGAAACUUAUCAGAAUUUUGAUCCAUGUCUAAUGGGGAAUGCCCGGAUUCAGCGCCGCCAAGCAUUUUGAUUUUUUUUAAUCAUCACUUCCUUCAAGGUACUCGAUUCGUCCCCUUUGCCUCAGUUCCGUCUCAUGAAGGAUGUUGUCGGCCCACCAUUCAAGUUCAUCUUAGUCUCUUGGUAGACAUAGCAGUGGAAGCAUUUAAUUUUUUACUUAUUGUUCUAAACAAUAAUGUGUUCUGUUCCAGUAGUAUGCUUCAAUUGGCUGCUUUGACAAGACUCUUAAGUCAGCACUAAAUUCAUUAUGUUCGAAAGAUUGUUACGUGCUUAUUGUUUAGUUUUCAGAUAAAUUUUACUUUGUCAUCAGAAGUGUGUAAGCAUUCAGAGAUUUUUAGGAUGUUAUCAUUUGGUGAUAUUAGAUGCUUUCUCAAUUCAGAUUUCAACCUGAGUGCACUGAUUAUUUGCAGGGCCUUGAAAUUUUGGAUUCAGCACAGAAGCUAAAAAUCUCAACUUUACUGUCAUAUUUACGUUGCGUUUAAUAUCUGAUCUUCAGCUCCAUCAUGCUAAUGAGAUAUCCCGUUUAUUUACUUUGUCCAGUUUCAUACAUUAUGUGUCAUAAUAUGGAGCUUUGGAAUAUCCAAAUUUUAUCACGCUAGAAGAUAUUUGGAUCUCCUAUAAAUGAGUGACUGCAUGAACCUAUCAUUUUAAUACAUGAUACCAUCGUAUUGACUGACAUGGUGGUAGAGAUUUUGAAGGGCAAGAAAGGCUCAUCUUGGAACAAAAUACACAUGUUCUGUGACUUCUUUGUCGGGAAGACUGCUGCUUAUAAAAUGACUUUCAUCUACUGCUACUCAUAUUCAGGUGCCUCUCUGGGUUGUGUUCUAUGUUCCAAGUGUAAUCAACCGUUGAAAGGCUUUUGGAUGACAAAGGUAAACACGUAUUUAAAGAUUGAAGUUUUAGAACAACAGUAGUACUAUUAUCUUUAGUUAACACCAGACAGUCAUUCUUUCAGUUCAUUUCAUGUGGUGAUCCUGUGGGCCCUCUUUGAUAAUGUAAUAUCAUCUGGUUUCCUUUCAAAAAUAUUUCCUUUCCUUUUUCAGCACAUUGCUUGGAUUGAAACUCCCCAAUCUUUGACCUCGGUUUUGACGUAGGGGCCCUUCGUUGCUGCGCGCUGGUGAGGACGGCGUGGAAAAGUCUGAACUCCCUUUUUCUUUUCUUAUGAGAUGCUCGAUAGAACAACACGUUUAGGACCCAGUAUCUGGGAAUCGGCAAGCCAUUAAUAGGUUAUCUGCCAUAUAUUUUUCAGAUGAAAUUUUAUGCUAUAAGCAUGCAUAUUUUUCUUGGUAAUUUCUAUUGGAUGGGAAGCUAAGUCGCUAGCUUAGAUUAAAUCAUCAUUGUACUGUCAUGAGCUAACUGAUAUUUUUGGAAAUUUUACGGUAGCCGCAAUUCAGUAAUAUGACAUAGCUCUUCUCUCACGCCUUUGUCACAACAAUGAUUUAAGUAAUCAGCAUUCAAUGUAUAAGCAGCUUCUUUUUUGUCUCAUCAAUUUGUUUUGUGGAAAUUGCAAGUCAUGAUUACCUUUU